rnacentral:rRNA from 1 species
CCAUUGCGAUGGAGGGACGGAGAAGGCUAGGCCAGCUUGGCGUUGGUUGUCCAAGUUUAAGGUGGUAGGCUGGAAUCUUAGGUAAAUCCGGGAUUCUAAGGCCGAGAGCUGAUGACGAGUGUUCUUUUAGAACACGAAGUGGUUGAUGCCAUGCUUCCAAGAAAAGCUUCUAAGCUUCAGGUAACCAGGAACCGUACCCCAAACCGACACAGGUGGUUGGGUAGAGAAUACCAAGGCGCUUGAGAGAACUCGGGUGAAGUAACUAGGCAAAAUGGCACCGUAACUUCGGGAGAAGGUGCGCCGGUGAGGGUGAAGCAUUUACUGCGUAAGCCCAUGCCGGUCGAAAAUACCAGGCCGCUGCGACUGUUUAUUAAAAACACAGCACUCUGCAAACACGAAAGUGGACGUAUAGGGUGUGACGCCUGCCCGGUGCCGGAAGGUUAAUUGAUGGGGUUAGCUAACGCGAAGCUCUUGAUCGAAGCCCCGGUAAACGGCGGCCGUAACAAUAACGGUCCUAAGGUAGCGAAAUUCCUUGUCGGGUAAGUUCCGACCUGCACGAAUGGCGUAACGAUGGCGGCGCUGUCUCCACCCGAGACUCAGUGAAAUUGAAAUCGCUGUGAAGAUGCAGUGUAUCCGCGGCUAGACGGAAGACCCCGUGAACCUUUACUAUAGCUUUGCACUGGACUUUGAAUUUGCUUGUGUAGGAUAGGUGGGAGGCUUUGAAGCGUGGACGCCAGUUCGCGUGGAGCCAACCUUGAAAUACCACCCUGGCAACUUUGAGGUUCUAACUCAGGUCCGUUAUCCGGAUCGAGGACAGUGUAUGGUGGGUAGUUUGACUGGGGCGGUCUCCUCCUAAAGAGUAACGGAGGAGUACGAAGGUGCGCUCAGACCGGUCGGAAAUCGGUCGUAGAGUAUAAAGGCAAAAGCGCGCUUGACUGCGAGACAGACACGUCGAGCAGGUACGAAAGUAGGUCUUAGUGAUCCGGUGGUUCUGUAUGGAAGGGCCAUCGCUCAACGGAUAAAAGGUACUCCGGGGACAACAGGCUGAUACCGCCCAAGAGUUCAUAUCGACGGCGGUGUUUGGCACCUCGAUGUCGGCUCAUCACAUCCUGGGGCUGAAGCCGGUCCCAAGGGUAUGGCUGUUCGCCAUUUAAAGUGGUACGCGAGCUGGGUUUAGAACGUCGUGAGACAGUUCGGUCCCUAUCUGCCGUGGACGUUUGAGAUUUGAGAGGGGCUGCUCCUAGUACGAGAGGACCGGAGUGGACGAACCUCUGGUGUUCCGGUUGUCACGCCAGUGGCAUUGCCGGGUAGCUAUGUUCGGAAUAGAUAACCGCUGAAAGCAUCUAAGCGGGAAACUAGCCUCAAGAUGAGAUCUCACUGGGACCUUGAGUCCCCUGAAGGGCCGUCGAAGACUACGACGUUGAUAGGUUGGGUGUGUAAGCGCUGUGAGGCGUUGAGCUAACCAAUACUAAUUGCCCGUGAGGCUUGACUGA